UCUCAACUCUCUCUCUCUCUAAAACUCACUUUCUCUCUAAAACGCAGCCCUUAAACUUCCGAUGAAGAAAUCGUUGAAUAUAAAGUGAGUUUUUACUCUUUAAAGUUUAAUUAAUUGAAACCAGUAAAGUUUUGUCGUACUUUUCUCUGUUUCCCCAAACCCUUUUGCAGUUUUGGUAAAGAAGAAGACGACAUCGUUUCUGCGUGAGCAUUAAGCCAAAGCACAAGUAUCACUUGAUCGCUUCACAACAAACAUUCAAUUCGUAUGUUUCGCAUCAAGCCAAAGCACAAGACGACAUCGUUUCUGCGUGAAGAAGAAGACGACAUCGUUUCUCUGAAGUGUGUUUCAUACAAAACCAACUAAACCUCAGAUGAUUAGCUGGUAGAGAAAUUGAAGAAAGAGGUGAUCAAAAGCAUUUCUGGUGUAUCGAAUCUGUUUUCAGCUCAGGUUGAUCAAAAGCAUUUGGUAGACAAAUGAUAAUUAGUUUCCUAAUUACAAACAAUGUUUGUUGACCAAAAUAUCCAAAGUUUGAUAUUAAAUAUAUGUUGUAGUAUUCAUUUGUCAUGAAAAAUAUAUAGACAAUUAUUUGUUGACAUGGUUGCCACUGUUAGCUGAAGUAGCUGUUUUGGAAGAAGAAGUUGUACGGUUAGAGGAAGAAGUUGUAAUUUCUACAUACUGGUAGAGAAACUGAAGAAAGAGGUGAUCAAAAGCAUUUCGGAUGUAUCGAGAAGUCACAGAGGGUAGGAGGAUCAAGUGUUCAACGUCCCAAGCGAAACAUAAAUUAUUUAUCGGUAAUGUUCCUAAAAACUGGACACUGGAAGACAUGGAGAAGGUUGCUAGAAGAGUUGGUCCAGGCAUUGAAUCCGUAGAGCUAUUAAAGGAUCAACAAAACUCUAGACGAAACUGUGGUUUUGCUUUUGUCGAGUAUUAUAACCAUGACUUGCAGAGUAUUCAAGACAAAAGAUGUCAAACCCUAAAUUUAAGCUUGACGAUAACGCUCCAACCGUUAGCUGGGCUGAUCCAAAAAAUGCCGAGUCCUCAGCUUCUUUUCAGGUUAAGGCAGUGUAUAUGAAAAAUUUGCCAAAAAACGUAACGCAGGAGCAGUUAGAAAAGAUGACUUGAAAUUCCGUUAAAUGCAUCUGAAGAUGGCUUGAAAGAGUUUUACGAAUCUGUAGGAGAAGUCAUAGAGUGAUUAUUAGAAAUAUGGUGAACAAUGACGAUGACGAAGAUUGAUAACUGUUUCGAAGCCGGUAACUCGAGAACGGAUGAUGAUGAUGAUGAUUCGAAAUGGAACUCGGAUACAAAGAUGAUGAAUGAAGAUGAAUGUUCAGACGAGUAUUUGAAGGGCACGAUUAAUGGAAGAAGCCAUGUGAUUUUGUUAGACUAUUGUCAUUUAACUAAAAAGUGUGGAUUUUAAGGUGAAAUAUGUCACCAUUGAUGGGAAGAAGUUGAAGCUUGCUAUUUGGGCUACUGGCCUAGAGCGGAAAAUGCUAGAGAGGCGGAGGCUUGCAAGCGAUGUAACUGUAAGAAAUCCAAGUUUUUGAAGGAUGUGAUGUUCAGGGAACUGAGACGUCCUAAAGGGAACCCGAAGCUGCUGGCUGCUAAAUUGAGGGAACAAUGUAUCAAGUCUUCGGUUAUGACAGCAGUUUUGAAACCACUUUUGAAACCACUUUUGAGUUAAAACAGUGGUUUGUGGAGAAAACAGUGGUUGUUACAUCUAAGUCGGAAGCCAUUUGUUCAAACCACUGUUUAACCCAACAGUGGUUUCAAACAUCUGUUUUCUCAAUACACCACUGUUUUAACCCAACAGUGGUUUCAAGCCACCGUUUCAACCUAACAGUGGACUUUGCUACUAUCAAGAAGAAGCUUGCGAAAUGAUUGUAUUUAUCUUUGAAAGAAUUUGAGAGGGAUGUGUUUUUUAUUUGCUUAGAUGUUUUUGAUUUACAGACUCAACAUCUGCUACUCCAAAGGUUUGCCAAAGUCUGCCAAAAGAGAACAUCUGCUUGAAGGUAAAGUCUGUUGAUCCAAAGGUCUGCAAAAGUGAUCCUCUGCUGAUGAAGAGAACGUCUGAAGAAGCAAAGGUCUCCUAUGGCUCAACAGUUGUUAAAGACCAACAGAUGAUAUUCAACAGAUGUUGCUCGACAGAGGUUAUUAAUGUAACAGUGCUUAGGCUAAUAGCAGAUGUUAGGUGUUUGUUAGACUGUUUGAUGUCGCUGUAUAGGUGACAUCAGCUUAGAUGUUUCAGAUGUUUGAUUUGUACUAUACAUAGAACAGUGAUUUGUACUAUUUUAAAAUUAAUCAAACGAAAAACUAAACUAAAAAUUACAGUAUUUA